rnacentral:rRNA from 1 species
GAUGAACGCUGGCGGCGUGCCUAAUACAUGCAAGUCGGGCGAAUGGAUUAAGAGCUUGCUCUUAUGAAGUUAGCGGCGGACGGGUGAGUAACACGUGGGUAACCUGCCCAUAAGACUGGGAUAACUCCGGGAAACCGGGGCUAAUACCGGAUAACAUUUUGAACCGCAUGGUUCGAAAUUGAAAGGCGGCUUCGGCUGUCACUUAUGGAUGGACCCGCGUCGCAUUAGCUAGUUGGUGAGGUAACGGCUCACCAAGGCAACGAUGCGUAGCCGACCUGAGAGGGUGAUCGGCCACACUGGGACUGAGACACGGCCCAGACUCCUACGGGAGGCAGCAGUAGGGAAUCUUCCGCAAUGGACGAAAGUCUGACGGAGCAACGCCGCGUGAGUGCUGAAGGCUUUCGGGUCGUAAAACUCUGUUGUUAGGGAAGAACAAGUGCUAGUUGAAUAAGCUGGCACCUUGACGGUACCUAACCAGAAAGCCACGGCUAACUACGUGCCAGCAGCCGCGGUAA